UUUGGGAGAAAUUUGGUGUGAACUAAACAUGGCCUUAAUUGUUCGUUUUAUUUGAAACAUUUUUAUAAUUAAUAUUUUUUAUUAUUUGAUGAUAAAAUAUAAAUAAUAUUUUAUGUGUGACUUAUGUUUUUAAAUUUUUUUCAAAAAAAAUACGGACGAUCAAAGUUGGUCACGGAAAAUCAUGGCUGCACUUAGA
rfam:Oryza glaberrima chromosome 3 Oglab03_0095_12, whole genome shotgun sequence.